rnacentral:rRNA from 1 species
CCAAUAGCGUAUAUUAAAGUUGUUGCAGUUAAAAAGCUCGUAGUUGAAUUUCGGGGUUAGUAAGUUGGUCGUGCCACUGGUAUGUACUGGCUUUACUGAUUCCUCCUUCUUGUAGAACCGUAAUGCCAUUCAGUUGGUGUUGCGGGGAAACAGGACUGUUACUUUGAAAAAAUUAGAGUGUUUAAAGCAGGCUAACGCCUGAAUACAUUAGCAUGGAAUAAUGAAAUAGGACGUUUGAUCCUAUUUUGUUGGUUUCUAGGAUUGACGUAAUGAUUAAUAGGGAUAGUUGGGGGCAUUAGUAUUCAAUUGUCAGAGGUGAAACUCUUGGAUUUAUUGAAGACUGACUACUGCGAAAGCAUUUGCCAAGGAUGUUUUCAUUAAUCAAGAACGAAAGUUAGGGGAUCGAAGACGAUCAGAUACCGUCGUAGUCUUAACCAUAAACUAUGCCGACUAGGGAUCGGAUGAUGUUAAUUUUUUAAUGACUCAUUCGGCGCCUUACG